AAGUCGUAACAAGGUUUCCGUAGGUGAACCUGCGGAAGGAUCAUUACAAAAACAAAAUCCAAACCACACCACUGUGCUCUUUAUUGUGAGAAAAAUGUCUUUGUGUGUUGCUGUGUUGUUGGGGGAGAGGAGAAGAAUUUAUUUUUCCCCUUUCUUUCCUUCACACACACACAAGCUUUUCCUCACAUGUCUUUGUUUUCAAUUUUUCAUUACUCCUUGUUUAACCAACAACGGAUUACAAUGUUAAAACUUGAAACAAACAAACAAAACAAAAUGACAACUUUUUACGGUGGAUCUCUUGGCUCGU
rnacentral:misc_RNA from 1 species